UGACUUCUCUCCGAUGCCCAGA
rnacentral:piRNA from 2 species